rnacentral:rRNA from 1 species
AUGAAGAAUCCAUCUUGUGAACAGGCAAUUUCUUCUUCCUUGAUCCCGUUCCACAAGGAAGCCAAUAAAGAAAUGGGAGGCGAGACGCAGCCACUGGCGGCCGCAGCAGUCACCGUAUCCAAGGUGCUCGACGAUGACGACCUCCUCAUCGAAAUCCUUCUCCGCGUCGGUUUCCCCACCACCCUUGUCUGCGCUGCCCUCGUCUGCAAGCGCUGGCUAGGGCACGCCUCCGACCGUGCCUUCCUUCGCCGUUUCCGCAAGCUCCACCCGCCCCGCCUCCUCGGCUUCUACAUUGACGACUUUGGUCUUCCGCCUGGCUUGACAUUGGUGUUCGUCCCAGUGCUGCCUCAGCCCCCAGAGCUUGCUGUCGUUGUCCGCCGUGCGAGGUUCAAAUUGAAAACCAACAAUGCCAGGUCUGCCACAAUCAGGGACUGCCAGAACGGCAGUGUCUUCUUCACCUUGUACAACGGCAGAAGCAGAAAGUCAACCAGAGUGCACUGCCCAUUGUGCCCCGAGAGAGGUCCAGCCAUCCUCCCACAACUCCCACGCCCUGGACUCGGGAGUAACUGCACUUUCAAACAAGUUCUUUCCAAAGAAGAAGGGGAUGGCAUGUCCUACUACUACUUGUAUGUGGAGUCUGCCAGGCGCGCAGAAACAGAAUCUAUGCUACACGUAUAUAUGUUGCAAGAUGGUUCCCGAUGGACGCAUCAUCUCUUGGACAUAGACAACCUCCCUGAACCACGAUGGGAACCAAAAGCUGUGCUUGUUGAUAAUAAAAUCUACAUGGCGGCUGCCGAGACUGCCAUUAUUGUUUUGGAUUUGUCGGACUUGAGUCUCUCUACAAUUCAGCUUCCGCAAGGUGUGGAGCAUGGCGUCAUUGGCACCACUAUGUUGGCACGUGCUCAUGAUGCUUCUGGUGUAUAUCUCAUCCAUGUUGAGGAGUUUCAACUUCGCAUCUGGCUCCACAAGGGGGGAAACUGGUCAUUGGUUGAUACCAUUUUUUUGCAUGAGAUGUGUGCUAACUUGAGGAAUUCAUGUUGCACAAUCGAGGAUGAGGAUAGACUUCUUCCACUGAACCAGGUGGUGGACUAUGGUGACUUUGUGUUUUUGAAGAUGGGUGGAUGCGCACUCCAGUUGGACAUCAAGUGCAGGACACUGCGUAAGGUGUAUGAAGCAAAAAACGGCCAUUUGGGUUUUAAUAUCCAUCCUUUUAUGAUGAUCUGGCCUCCCACAUUCCCAACGCUCAAGUAUGAUCCUGCAAGAAAUGCAAUGUGGAGAAGAAAUAUACCAGGAAGCUCAUGGAUGGCACCUACGCCAAGAGUGACCAGGGCGGCAUCAAGGAAGAGCAGUAGUUGA